rnacentral:ncRNA from 21 species
AGAAAAGUUGACGGGGUAAGGAUCCGUUAGGAGUAAAAAGGGAAGCCGGUGAGAAGCCGGCGCGGUCACGCCACUGUAUGACGGAGUCGGUAGAAACUAUGCCACCGAGGAUGGGACGCUAGUCCGUAUUUGGGAAGGCUUCUACACGGUAAUGAGGUCGAGUCAGGAUAUCUGCCUGCCCAACAAUCACCGUU